AUUGAACGCUGGCGGCAGGCCUAACACAUGCAAGUCGAACGGUAACAGGAAGAAGCUUGCUUCUUUGCUGACGAGUGGCGGACGGGUGAGUAAUGUCUGGGAAACUGCCUGAUGGAGGGGGAUAACUACUGGAAACGGUAGCUAAUACCGCAUAACGUCGCAAGACCAAAGAGGGGGACCUUCGGGCCUCUUGCCAUCGGAUGUGCCCAGAUGGGAUUAGCUAGUAGGUGGGGUAACGGCUCACCUAGGCGACGAUCCCUAGCUGGUCUGAGAGGAUGACCAGCCACACUGGAACUGAGACACGGUCCAGACGCCUACGGGAGGCAGCAGUGGGGAAUAUUGCACAAUGGGCGCAAGCCUGAUGCAGCCAUGCCGCGUGUAUGAAGAAGGCCUUCGGGUUGUAAAGUACUUUCAGCGGGGAGGAAGGGAGUAAAGUUAAUACCUUUGCUCAUUGACGUUACCCGCAGAAGAAGCACCGGCUAACUCCGU
rnacentral:rRNA from 1 species